GCCCCUAUGGCUCAGUGGUAGAGCGCUCCACUCGUAUAUGAUGACUUAGUUAUCAUACGACGGCAAUGGAGAGGUCCAUCGUUCGAUCCGGUGUGGGGGCA
rfam:TPA: Aspergillus nidulans FGSC A4 chromosome VII